UUUUCAGUAGCUCAGUGUGGUAGAGUGUCGGAUGGUUAAUCCGGAGGUCGUCAGUUCGAGUCUGGCCUGAAAAC
rnacentral:tRNA from 1 species